AACGAACGUUAGCGGCGCGCUUAACACAUGCAAGUCGCACGAGAAAGGGAGCAAUCCCCGGUAAAGUGGCGCACGGGUGAGUAACACGUAGGUAAUCUGCCUCUGAGCGAUGGAUAACCUUCCGAAAGGAGGGCUAAUACAUCAUAAGACCACGCCUUCGAAAGAAGGAGAGGGAAAAGCCGGCCUCUGUACACAAGCUGGCACUCGGAGAUGAGCCUGCGGCCCAUCAGCUAGUUGGCGGGGUAAUGGCCCACCAAGGCUAAGACGGGUAGCUGGU
rnacentral:rRNA from 1 species